UGCGGUUAAAAAGCUCGUAGUUGGAUCUCGGCAAGUAGAGGGCGGUAUGCUUCGUAGCAUUACUGCCCUAUUACUUGUAGUUUUGCCAGAGGUUCCUGGGUGCUCUUAAUCGAGUGUCUAGGGAUGCUGGCAGGUUUACUUUGAAAAAAUUAGAGUGCUCAAAGCAGGCUAUUACGCUUGAAUAUUCGUGCAUGGAAUAAUAGAAUAGGAAGUUGUUUCUAUUUUGUUGGUUUUCGGAAAUCGACUUAAUGAUUAAUAGGGACAGUCGGGGGCAUUUGUAUUCAAACGACAGAGGUGAAAUUCUUGGACCGUUUGAAGACAAACUACUGCGAAAGCAUUUGCCAAGAAUGUUUUCAUUAAUCAAGAACGAAAGUUAGAGGUUCGAAGGCGAUUAGAUACCGCCCUAGUUCUAACCAUAAACGAUGCCAGCUAGCGAUCUGAGGACGUUUUUUUUGUAGACUCCUCAGGAAGCUUCCGGGAAACCAAAGCGUGUGGGUUCCGGGGGAAGUAUGGUUGCAAAGCUGAAACUUAAAGGAAUUGACGGAAGGGCACCACCAGGAGUGGAGCCUGCGGCCUAAUUUGACUCAACACGGGAAAUCUCACCAGGCCCGGACACUGGAAGGAUUGACAGAUUGAGAGCUCUUUCUCGAUUCGGUGGGUGGUGGUGCAUG
rnacentral:rRNA from 1 species